rnacentral:rRNA from 1 species
UACGUAGGGGGCAAGCGUUGUCCGGAUUUAUUGGGCGUAAAGAGCGUGUAGGCGGCCUGGAAGGUCAGCUGUGAAAACUCGAGGCUCAACCUCGAGACGUCGGUUGAAACCACCUGGCUAGAGUCCGGAAGAGGAGUGUGGAAUUCCCGGUGUAGCGGUGGAAUGCGCAGAUAUCGGGAGGAACACCGAUGGCGAAGGCAGUGGGCUGGGCCGGCACUGACGCUGAGGAGCGAAAGCGUGGGGAGCGAACAGG